AUUGGUGUGCCAAACCUCCAUAAAACACCAGAAGAAGAACUCACCGUAACUCCAGAGUAUCAGUCAGAUCGCGGAUUCAUAUGCAGUUAUUCAUAUGUAGCGUUUAUGUGGAAGUGAAAGUCCGUGACAAAAUAUUACCUCAAGUACACCACUAUGUGAAAAUGGUCACUCUUGUGCAAUACAUGACCAAAUCUGAUGACUCCCAACUCCCCGACCAAAGUACUGCAGCAGUCAAUAACAUAUCCACAAAGUUAAAUGAGUUAAAUGGGGCACUUUCUAUAUGAGAGUUCAACCUUUCUGUCUUGAGAAAUUCACACAUUUCAGAUUCCCAACUUUAUGAUAUUGUUCAGAAUUUGGUUGGAGAAAAUUAGAAGAUUGGGGCAAAUGCUGUUCGGUCCAGGCUUGCAGCUAAAAAUAUUCGAGUGCCGCGAAGGAGACUAGGACUGUAUGAACCCAAGGACACUGAGACUGACAGACCCAGUUCCUGCUGUCAUGAAGCUCAUCACACCAUGAUCUACUGGCCUCCCAUCAUCGUGAUGCCCUGCCAAUGUCUGACCAGCGACCACCCGCUGCUUCCCUUUAUUUCUAAAUUUUUUAAUUCUUAAUAAAUCGUAUAGUAUAGUUUUUUAUUGGAUCGCGUAAUUCUGCUUAGUGACAACCAACCACUUACUUUAACUUUUAAUUACGUAGAGCGCUGGCCCAAAGACUGCACCGAAGAACCUACCGUGUUGCAGGUCCCAACUCAUUGUGGCACAGUGAUGGAAACUACUUAAUCUUAACAUGUUUACAAAUUUGAAUGUUUUCUUAAGUCCCUGUAAAGUCAAUUUUAAAAAAAUUGUUUCUGAACACAUUAUAAAUGUUUAAAAAAUGUAUUGCAGAAAUACACAACAAAGACUAUAAACUACGUAGCUCUGAAUUGCAGAGUAAAGAUUGUGUAUUUCUGAGUUCAGGAUAUUUUAGAUGGUCCUAAAAUGGUUGCUCGAUAAUGCACUUGAGCCACCCAGCGUGGCACCGCCCCUAACACAAUUGUGACCAUCCAUUCAGGUUGAAGUGGUAUUUGAAAGUUGAGAAACAGUAAGUGGGUGUUGUUUCAGCUUUGACGGCGUACAUACCACCACCGUUUGAGAGCACAAAAUACUGCCUAUUUUUCCAAGAUUUUGAUAACUUAGUUUAAUUACUUGGUGUUUUGCAUGCAAAUUUGGUUGGUUGGUUAAUAACACAUUUUUCCAAAUACAUACUUUCAGAUAUCUCAGUGCAAGUUAUUUUCAGUUAAGACAGCUGAAACAUUCAUUUUAGUUUUGCCUUAAGCCUUAUCUGUGAAACCGGGCAUUGGUGUUCUACAUGCUAAUGUUUGAUUGUUUGGUUUUUAAAUCUUAUGUCACACCCUUCUUGAUGUUCUAAAUGUGAAUAUAUAUGCUUAUGUGUGCUGCAGUGCAUCAUUUUAAAUCGGCAGUUACAAACUAACUAAACUAAGUUCAGAUGACAAUAAAGAAAGUGUACAAAACUGUCUGUAUUCAUUUUCAAG